CAGUAAAUAGUUUAUAUAAAAUAUAAUAUUUGGGUUAUUAAGAAAUUAUUACUGA
rnacentral:tRNA from 1 species